UACGGAGGGUGCAAGCGUUAAUCGGACUUACUGGGCGUAAAGCGCACGCAGGUGGCUAAGUCAGUCGAUUGUGAAAGCCCUGGGCUUAACCUGGGAAUUGCAGUCGAUACUACUUAGCUUGAGUAUGGGAGAGGGCAGUGGAAUUCCCGGUGUAGCGGUGAAAUGCGUAGAGAUCGGGAGGAAGAUCAGUGGCGAAGGCGGCUGCCUGGCCCAAUACUGACGCUCAGGUGCGACAGCGUGGGGAGCAAACAGG
rnacentral:rRNA from 1 species